GACGGGGGAUGCGAGCGUUAUCCGGAAUGAUUGGGCGUAAAGGGUCCGCAGGUGGCCCGGUCAGUCCGCUGUCAAAGCCUGGGGCUCAACCCUGGAGAGGCGGCGGAGACCACCGGGCUUGAGUCCGGUAGGGGCAGAGGGAAUUCCCGGUGGAGCGAUGAAAUGCGUAGAGAUCGGGAAGAACGCCAAGGGCGAAGGCACUCUGCUAGGCCUGAUUUCGCGACUGACACUCAGGGACGAGAGCCAGGGGAGCGAAUGGG
rnacentral:rRNA from 1 species